GGAGUCUGGGCCGUAUCUCAGUCCCAAUGUGGCCGAUCAACCUCUCAGUCCGGCUACUGAUCGAAGCCUUGGUGGGCCGUUACCCCGCCAACCAGCUAAUCAGACGCGAGCCCAUCUUUCAGCGAUAAAUCUUUGGUCAUAAAAGGAUGCCCUUAAAUGACAUUAUGCGGUAUUAGCAGUCGUUUCCAACUGUUGUCCCCCUCUGAAAGGCAGGUUGCUCACGCGUUACUCACCCGUUCGCCACUAAGCUAAAAAUUCAAUCCCCGAAGGAAAAUCCAAAAUAGCUCCGUUCGACUUGCAUGUGUUAGGCACGCCGCCAGCGUUCGUCCUCGAGCCACUGAUCAAACUACU
rnacentral:rRNA from 1 species